rnacentral:rRNA from 1 species
GUGAGUAACACGUGGAUAACCUACCUAUAAGACUGGGAUAACUUCGGGAAACCGGAGCUAAUACCGGAUAAUAUAUUGAACCGCAUGGUUCAAUAGUGAAAGACGGUUUUGCUGCCACUUAUAGAUGGAUCCGCGCCGCAUUAGCUAGUUGGUAAGGUAACGGCUUACCAAGGCAACGAUGCGUAGCCGACCUGAGAGGGUGAUCGGCCACACUGGAACUGAGACACGGUCCAG